AUGGCGACCCCCCCCCCGCCCGCCGUCUUGGUUCGCCCCGGGGCUACGGGGUCUAAUCGGGGCCAAACGUCUUCCGCAGCGGCGGUUCGCGUUUCUCGUGUCCGCUUGACUGACAGCUGCGCGGCGGGAGCGGACGGCUGGAGCGGGACGCGGCGGCGCAGGUACCGCGCCCGGGGGUGGGGAGCGCGCGGCCAGUGUCCCGCGGCCCGAGGCGUCCGACCUGGAGCUUCUGGACCCGCACGUGAGGGGGGCGAGGGAGUUCGAGCCCGGAGCCGACACGCAGCAACAAGUGGGGUCCCGCGCGGGGCUCGGGGACAGGGCGGGCGGCGGCCGCGGAGGGUCUUCCUGCCGCCCCUCCUGGCCGCGCCGGGUAGAGGGUCCCUCCGCCUCGGCCUCUGCGCGCGGGGUGUCCGGGGGUCCCAUUCUGGCCGCGGCCCGGCCCCUAGGGGCGCCACCCUGGUCUCGGCCGCGCGGUUACGGCCCCCGCCGGCCGCCCCCUGCCCCCGGGCCGCUGUCCGCGUCCUUCCCGCUCCUUCCCGGGUAGGGGGUCCGGGUAGGCCCGCUGGGUCGCGGCUCUGCUGGGCCUCCCGUCGUCCCGGGUCCCCGACGCUCAGACGCGCCUCUGAGCACGGGGCGAGGGGGCCCGGGAGGGAGGUCGCGGAAGAGGCGCUGAACCUUGAAGACCCCGGCACAGGGGACCCCUGGGCAGACUCCCGCAGCUGCACGGGCAGGACCCGCUCGGCUCUGCCUUGCCCUGGAGCCCAGGCCCACAGAGGCCUAGAGGAGGUGCCCGGGACUCUCGGAUGGAGUGCGCGGGAGGGGGCGCGGGGCUGUGCCCCCGGGGUGGGGUGGGGAAUGAGGAGGUCGGUGUGCAGUGAGCGGCAAAGGGAGGCUCCUUGGAGGUGCGAGGUGGGCUGUGGGGGGUCGGUGUGCUGCGAAGUGGCGCCCCAGGAGGCUCUGGGCUGGCGUGCCGGCCUGGGGCUUCUGGCUGGGUUGGGCCUGUGCUCAUCCUCUGCCGUUUUCUCAGGACAACCUGGGUCGGCCUUAGCUGCAGGGGAGGGGGAUGAAGGGUUUCCUGGGUCCAGAGUGGUGCUGGCCACAUCCACUGCACACUUGGGGUUUGUGCUCCCACCCUGGCCGGAGCCGUGA
rnacentral:lncRNA from 13 species